GGAGCUCCCUAUAUUCCCACUGGAGCAGGCGGGUCAGAGAGGGCCCGGGGCGGCUCCUGCCCAGGGCGCAUAGAGGGGCCGUGCUCCACAUGGUCCCGAGAGCUGGGAGACAACAAACAGCGCUUAGUGACGGGAAUUACAGCGCGGAUUCUCUCGGCUGAGGGGGAACGCGGCCCCCUCGCCUCGGGCGGGGGCCGUGAGGGGACAGCCCCGGUGCCUGCCCUGCCAUGUGGGCCCUGCGGGGACACCCCCUGAUAGACGGGGAUCGUGAAGGGACAGCCACUGUCCCCUCCCUUCUCCGAGGGUCGUGAGGGGACAUCCUGACUCCAGUCGGUCGUGAGGGGACACCCCUCUUUCCGCCCUUCCACGGGGGUCGUGAGGAGACACCUUGCAGGAAAAUUUAAGAGAACGCGAGGAACUAAAUGAACCAGUUGGAAGAUGGGAGACUAAAUGCAAGAGAAGUUGGGAGCCUGAUCCUCAGGCCAGAGCCUGUCCUGAAUUGCACUGCUACAAGCUGAAGAGAACAGAAUUCCAUUCUAAGAAUGCAGAUAACUGGUGAUACCCAAA